GAGGAGACGCACAGCAUGCCGGGAAUGAGCAGGCCCCUGUUCUUCGGAACAAACCAUCUGGAGAAAGAGCUGGAAUGGAGCCCAUCAGUGGUGCUUCACUGCUUCAGGAAGAUGCAUGGCUCAGCAGGACACACAGGGCUCAGCAGGUCACAGCCAUAGGUAAGCAACCAAAGCACCCUAGACCCCACCACCUCUUUGAAUAAAAUUACCCAGUCAUGCCAGGCUUCUCACCUUUCCCAGAAGGAGUAGUACUUCACACACACACACACACACACACACACAUGCACGUGUACACACAUAUAUACAAACACAUUCAGACACAUACGCAUGCACAUACACAACACACACAUGCACGCUACACAUACACAUACAUACACACAUAUACAGAUACACACAUACACACACGCACAUACACACACACUACACAUACGCACACACACACACAUAUAUGCAUGCGUGCAUCCCUCUUUCUGUGGCAUCCCUGACUUUUUGGAGAUUGAGUCAUUUAAUUAUUUGUUUAAAUGGCUUUGUAAAUGUUCUAAUGUCCAGAAUAUUUGCUAGACAAUAACAACGUUUUCCAUGGUUUAUUAAGUAAAUAAUUGUCCUAAUAGAAAUAUAAAUUGUUACAGAAGUGCAUAAAAUGAAAUUAUUUUUCCAAAUGGAGUUAAAUAAGAGUAUAUUGAAGGAAUUAUAUAUAUUAACCUUGUCUUCAAAAAUGAGUAGAUUCUCACGGGCAAAGACG
ensembl:lncRNA LINC00701 long intergenic non-protein coding RNA 701